GAGCCAGCCCGCAAGGGGGCCUUCAUGGAGGCCCCAUAGAGCCCUGGGCUUCCCAGCGGGUGCCGCCGAGCUGGCUCUGGGCGCACUGGCAGCGCCAGGGGCGCACGAGGCGCUGGGCUCCCGCCGUGUCACUAUCAGAGACAAGAAAGGUCCUGUCUGUGCGCAACAGCUUCUUGGCGCGCUGCCGGGCUCUUCCACCCUGGCCAAGGCACGCAGAGCCCGGCUCCCGGAGACCAAUCCCGCACUUCCCCAAGUCCCCAAAGGUCAGCAAGGGUCAGGGCGCGCUCUGAAGCAACCGCUGGCCAGUAUCCGGCCUCCCGCUCCAGGAAGGACCCCCAGAAGCAAGCAGGGGGAGGAAGGGGAAGUCUGAUGUUAGCUCAAGGACACCCUCCCCUCUUCCUGUUGCCCCUAUAAGACCACUCCUCUUCUCUGGGGCCGGGCUUCAGCAAGCCCUCCCCCUUUCCGCACUAGGCGACCCAAGUCCCUACAGUCUCUCGGUCUAAGCCGACAGCUGCCACGUGGAAGGAGACCCAGGCAGGCCCUCCAGCGCCGCCGGCGCCACCCACUCACACGGGCACCCAGCUGCGAGCCGGGGAACAUGCCCGCCCUCUCUCGCCCGGGGAGGGGGCUCGGGCACCCGCAGGAAGUCCGACGGCCGCUGACUUUAUAAGAGCAGUGGCGGCGGAGGGGCUGGGGGGAGGGUGGGUUUACCGAAGAGAGAAGGAGCCCCAGCACCCACCCCCACCCCCUCCGCCUAGGCCACGGCCGCCGCCGCGGGAGGAGACGGGGCGCGGGCGGCGCGGGGGCGCAGAGCGGCCGGUGAGACCGAGAAAAGCAGGGAGGAGAGGGGACAGGAAGGGCAAGAGAGAAAGGGCGCGAGGGAGCGGAGCAAAGCACGAAUGCCUUCGCCGGAGGGCCUCAGUACUCUCAUCUGUGAAAUGGGGCUUUGCAUUUAGGAGUUCCCGCAGGUCCGUUCGAACUCCGACAAGAGUGUUUCUCUAAACGGAGGCAGUGCAGCAAGAGAGGGCGCCGAGGGCCCAGACCAAAGGGGAAGGAGGGACGCGCUUGGAGAGGCGGGACCCACGGGCUCAGGUAACGGGUCUUUCUUGGGGAGCCUGGAAGUGUCGGUGGGAGCCAGCCGGGUGACUCUCAGAGAACGUUCAGCCCGGGACCCGGACCCCAGCCGCACCCGCUGCUCACCUCUGAUCCGGGGCAAACGCGCCUCCUGUAGCCGCCGACCGGUCGGGGAGCGGCGCGUGCACAAUUUCGGCGUCCGGUGUCCGGCGGGCCCAGCUCGGAACCGCAGCGGCGCUCGGGGCUUCUCUGCGCGCCGGGUCUGGGCGGCCUCGGAGAUUCUGCCGGACAGCCUGGUGUUCUCACCGCCUCGGUCCCAUCGGAAGAAGUCGGGGAACGGGAACCCGGCGGGCGCCACCAAUCCGCGAAAUGAGGCUAGGACGAAGUGGAUCGACGGAGUGAACAGUUGUACUUACAACCGGCCGGGGCUGCACCCCGAGGUCGGGAAGAAACAGCAAGAGCAAAGUCUUAGCAGCAGAAAAUGCACAAGGAGUUCUCUCUGGCAGGAGCACAGUGUCAGGCUCUGAUGCUUUCACUUCUCAAAAUGAAUUACUGGCUCCCAGAACUUCCACAUCAAGGUCAAACUCCUUAGUUUCGCACAAGGGGCCCUAGAAUAAGGACCCCCAUGCUCAAGGCGGUCAUGGAUGGAUCCCUUUGAGAAUGCAAUAAAGUUUUAUGAGUCCAUUCCCUA
rnacentral:lncRNA from 1 species